rnacentral:lncRNA from 1 species
CCUCGACAGAAGCACGGUGACGUGACCAUCGAGAAUGUUCGAGAGGCUCUUCUGAGGGCAACAAGCGGAAAUGCACUGGAAACAGCACCAAAAGGGGCAGCGGGUUCCAGGAAGCCAGAAACCAGGCGGAAUCGCCGCGCGGGCAGCAAAGGCGGCGAGGCUUCCAACGGACGGACGUCCUUCUAGAUGCCGGAGGCCACCAAGCUCUCCGUCUGCUUCCCCGCUGGGCCGUGGCCUCGCCUUCCCUCGCCUGCUCGCUCCUCACCUGCUGAUCCCCGGCCCCGCCGGCGGCGCCACCCAGGGACCGACCCUGGCACCGGGCGGGUGGCGGCGGGCAGGUGUCCAGGGAAGUGACGCCCGCGUGCGCUCCAGCACCGCCUUCUCCUGCACCGGGUCGGGUCCCCUCGCCCGUCCUGGCGACCUUCGCAGCCGUGGGUUCUAGAGCGUCGGCGGCUCCAGGCAGCGCUAGGUAACUAGCCAGGAGGUGAGGGCCGCAGUGCGGAACCGGCUUCCUCCUGGCGCGGCGGGCAGGACAGACCACUAGUGGGACCCACGCCGCAGCUCCAGUGCAAUUCCGGGGGUGCAGUCCAGGGGUGCAAUCCAGGGGUGCAAUUCCAGGGGUGCUUGGGUGAAUGUGGCCACACACCUGGCACACAGCAGAUCUUCGGGAACCAUCAGCCACGGGAGGAAUGAGCACGGGGCCAGAGGUGGGGGAGGUCAUCCUUGAUUUGAGGGGCUGGGUAUCACUGCAGUGGUAACUCCCAUCUUCUCCCCACAGUCUCCCUUUUUAUUGUUUCAAGCAGGAGUGCAGAUUCCCGGUUCCUUGCCCCGAAAGCAACCAGAGAAGCCACCUGCGGGAGCCGCUGCGUGACACUGCCUGGUGACCAGGGGGCCCAGAGCCGAAGGCGCAGCAGGGAGACACAGGCGGGGUGGCGGGGCUGGGCCUCAGGCCCUGCGGCUCGGGGGCCCCCAGACUUCAGGGCAGGCGGCCUUGGCUGAUGCCACCGCCGGAGGCACCAGGACACGUCCAUGGAAUGAAGUUUUCGGGCCGUGGGGGCUCCGAGCACAAGGAAGGCCUUUGCAAACGUUGGGUGGGGUUUCUUUUUCCCUUAAUUAUGCUCACUCCACGCCCUCUCCGCUUGCCACCUGUGCCCCUUCCCUGGACAAGCACCCACCACCCUGAGGUCGGCUUGCCUUCACACGAGGGCCAGUUGGGGUUUUCCCAUCUGAAGGUUUUCUUCCAAAGGCUGGUCCCACGCAAGCUCCAAGGCUGAGGACCCGAGGGGGCAUCCAGGCUGCAGAAAAAGUGGGGAGCCU